AACAUGCUCCCUUAGAUCCACCUUUGUGGGUGUUCUAACUUGUUCUGAGUUCAGCUGGAUUGAUCUAGCAGUUCCAGUUCAGUGUCACCCAGCAACUUUUUUGGUUGUACAGUCAAAGGUGCUUGAGUCAUUGGCAUGUAAGAAUAAUAUACCUGCAUGUUGGCUAUUGAUGUUCUGUUGACAGUGGUUGCAACAUUUAAUGCUGUGCUGCUUUUCACCAAUAGGACUUGGCUAAUAUGCGGACAGU